AUCUUUGCGCUUGGGGCAAUGACGCAGCUAGUGAGGUUCUAACCGAGGCGCGUCAAUUGCUGGUUGAAAACUAUUUCCAAACCCCCUCCAAGGCCUUGUGCCCUCGAGAAUUUCUGGAAGGGCUGCC
rnacentral:snRNA from 1 species